UGCUUCAUUGUAUUUCAAAAGCAGACGACGUGUUCUCUGUUGGGCUGUCGUCCGCCGGGGGGCCCGGCCGGAGCCAGGUCGCCCCCGAGGCACAAAUCGUCUGAUACGACUUCAAGGGUGGGAGGUCGGGCCUGGGGCCCUUGCUCGGUAAUGAUCCCUCCGCAGGUUCACCUGAGAGAAAUGUUAGCAUAUUGGACCGUCGAAAGGCUGCAGGGCGGUUCUCGAUCUACUCACCUACGGAGA
rnacentral:misc_RNA from 1 species